GGAGACCAAAUGCAAAAUUAAAGACCAUGAUUUCUGCAGUUUGUGUGGGUGUAGGCGUUGCACUUUUGCUUAUUUCUUUGCUUCUUUGCCACCAUUCAAGAAAAAGAAAAGGAGAAUCUGCAUCACUAUUUGAUGGGAAUUCACUAUUGAAGUUGUCUUAUCAAAGCCUGCUUAAAGCUACUAAUGGAUUCUCUUUAGAAAAUUUGAUUGGUACGGGUAGCUUUGGAUCUGUAUAUAAAGGGAUUCUUGAUCAAGAAGGAAUGGUAAUUGCAGUUAAGGUGCUUAACCUCAUGCGACGAGGAGCUUCAAAGAGCUUUGUAGCCGAAUGUGAAGCCUUGCGAAAUGUCAGGCAUCGAAAUCUUGUCAAAGUACUCACAGCGUGUGCAGGAAUUGAUUAUCAGGGCAAUGAUUUCAAAGCAUUGGUUUAUGAAUUUAUGGUUAAUGGGAGCUUAGAUGAUUGGUUGCAUCCAAUUCUUGGAUUAGAUGAGGUGCCAAGGACUUUAAAUGUUAUCCAAAGAUUGAAUAUUGCCCUGAUAAUCAAUUCCUGCACACG
rnacentral:misc_RNA from 1 species